AGAGGCUGCUUCUAGGUGGCAAAAUAGAUGAUUACAAAGAGCCCGGGAUGGGAGGCAGAGAGCCUUCCAGGCAAGGGGAGAACGUGCAAAAAGAGAAGAAAAAGCACCUUUGGGGAGUCUCCUGCAUAGAGCCCUGGGUGGCUGAUGGAGAAGGUAUUCAAGAGUGGCUGCACCUGGAGCUGGGAGCUGAGCAUCAUGAAGAUUAAAACAUAAAGUA